rnacentral:lncRNA from 1 species
GGCGGUACUUAUGGAUUUAAACGUAAUAGUAUAAGUGGUACAAUCUAUGGAUACUGAUGAAAGAAAAUUUAAUUCAAGGGAAAAAUGGUGAUAUUUUUUUUUAAGAAACCAAAAUAUUCUACCAAAAUUGGCAUAGGGAAAAUCGAACUGAGACCAUGAAAACAACACUCCAAGGUCCUAAAUUAACACCAUAUCAAUUCAAGUGGAUUAAACGGUUAUAUUAUUAAAUAACAUGAAUUAAGAUAAAGUGCAUGCUUUUCUUAGACAUAUCGACUAAAAUUCACACUUAAUUUUUUGUUUUCAUUGAUGUUCCAUGAGCCCUCCAUAUAUUUUAUUUUUUUGCUCUUCCUUCUCCUUAUCCCAAACCAGGUUCUUCAUUUUCUUCUCCUUUAUGUACUCCUCCUUCCCAAACUUCUUCGUUUCCUCCUCCUCCUCCUCCACGUCCAUAGUUUUGUCCUCUUCCCGAACUGUAUUCAGUCCCUCCUCCCAAACCGGCUUCAUUUCGUCCUCUUCCUUUUCUUCUAGCUUCUCUUUUUCUUCCUUCUCCCAAAAUUCCUCUAUCUUCUAGCCAAUUUAUCACUUUUCCCAAAAAUCCAUCAACAUUUCCUCCCUCAUGGUCUCCAUUGUGUCCACCUUCAACUCUUUCUACCCCAAAAUUUGCUUGGGAGUUUUCCGUUUCACCGACUACAAAAUCAACAAACAAAUUUUUUUAAAUAUAAUAAAACAAUAAAGUAAUUGUGCAAACAAAUAUAUAUAGAUAUAUACAUACAUUGAUUCCCACCUUUCGAUGAAUCGAUUGCCACAACAGUGAUGAUAAUUAGUGAGCAAACAAAGAACACGAAG